CAGGUACUGGAAUUACUUCAGACAAACACCUGCCAAAGUGAAAGAAAGUGGUAACAAUUCUCCAAGAAGCUGAAAUCUCUACAGGGAAGCUCCUUCAGAUUGUUGCUGGCUGUAAUAUCGAGACAAGGAAGAAACAAACUAGGUCAGUGAGAGGAUCAGAUACAAGAUUAAUCUCUUUAUCUUUAAUGAAAUUAAAUUUCUGGUGGAUGUGGCUACAGCCUAGGAGAAACUCCAGCUCAGGACCUAGGUUGGUGAAGAGUAUCUUGCAGAUGAGAGGUUGUACCUAUCUUCCAGCAACUACAUGGUAAAUCAUUAACGACACAGUGCAAAAA